rnacentral:rRNA from 1 species
UACGAAGGAUGCAAGCGUUAUCCGGAAUUAUUGGGUUUAAAGGGUGCGUAGGCGGACCUAUAAGUCAGUGGUGAAAGCCCCAAGCUCAACUUGGGAACUGCCAUUGAUACUGUUGGUCUUGAGUACAGUUGAGGUAGGCGGAAUGUGUCAUGUAGCGGUGAAAUGCUUAGAUAUGACACAGAACACCGAUAGUGAAGACAGCUAACUAAGCUUUAACUGACGCUGAGGCACGAAAGUGUGGGGAUCAAACAGG